AAUCUUCCACAAUGGACGGAAGUCUGAUGGAGCAACGCCGCGUGAGCGAAGUAGGUUUUCGGAUCGUAAAGCUCUGUUUUAAGGGAAGAACACGUACGGGAGUCACCGCCCGUACCUUGACGGUACCUUAUCAGAAAGCCCCGGCUAACGACGUGCCAGCAGCCGCGGUAAUACGUAGGUGGCAAGCGUUGUCCGGAAUUAUUGGGCGUAAAGCGCGCGCAGGCGGUCCUUUAAGACUGAUGUGAAAGCCCGCGGCUCAACCGUGGAGGGUCAUUGGAAACUGGAGGACUUGAGUACAGAAGAGGAAAGCGGAAUUCCACGUGUAGCGGUGAAAUGCGUAGAGAUGUGGAGGAACACCAGUGGCGAAGGCGGCUUUCUGGUCUGUAACUGACGCUGAGGCGCGAAAGCGUGGGGAGCAAACA
rnacentral:rRNA from 1 species